rnacentral:rRNA from 1 species
UAAAGAGUUUUUUCUAUAAAUGAAAAUGUAAGCAUUCCACCUCAAGAGUAAUUUGGCAACAUUGGACCUGAAAUCAUUAGACCGUUUCUGAAACCAGUAGUGAAGUAUGUUGUUUAAUUUGAUGAUCCGCAAAAAACCUUACCACAAUUUGAAUAUUUAUAUCUAUCUUCUUUUUUCGUAAAAAAAUAAAAAGGUAAUAUAUUUACCGUUGCACGGCUGUCUUCAGUUAAUGUCGCGAGACUUUGGUUAGUUCCAUUAAAUUAACGUAAACCCUUACUUUAUUUUUAUAUGAAGUAGUUCCCCGCUAUAUGGAUAU